rnacentral:rRNA from 1 species
AACGAACGCUGGCGGCGCGCCUAACACAUGCAAGUCGAACGAGAAGCUGUAGCAAUACAGUUGUACAGUGGCGAACGGGUGAGGAAUACAUGGGUGACCUACCCUCGAGUGGGGAAUAACCAGCCGAAAGGUUGGCUAAUACCGCGUACGUUUCCCAGUCCGCGGAUUGGGAAGGAAAGCGAUGCCGUGGGUAUCGCGCUCAAGGUUGGGCUCAUGUCCUAUCAGCUUGNGGUUGAGGUAACGGCUCACCAAGGCAACGACGGGUAGCUGGUCUGAGAGGACGAUCAGCCACACUGGGUC